CUACGGGAGGCAGCAGUGAGGAAUAUUGCACAAUGGAGGAAACUCUGAUGCAGCAACGCCGCGUGGAGGAUGACGCAUUUCGGUGUGUAAACUCCUUUUAUUAGGGAAGAUUAUGACGGUACCUAAUGAAUAAGCACCGGCUAACUCCGUGCCAGCAGCCGCGGUAAUACGGAGGGUGCAAGCGUUACUCGGAAUCACUGGGCGUAAAGGGUGCGUAGGCUGGCUUUUAAGUCAGAUGUGAAAUCCAAUGGCUUAACCAUUGAACUGCAUUUGAAACUGAGAGCCUAGAGUUCAGAAGGGGCAGAUGGAAUUAGUGGUGUAGGGGUAAAAUCCGUAGAUAUCACUAGGAAUAUCAAAAGCGAAGGCGAUCUGCUGGGAUGAUACUGACGCUGAGGCACGAAAGCGUGGGGAGCAAACAGGAUUAGAUACCCCGGU
rnacentral:rRNA from 1 species